rnacentral:rRNA from 1 species
GACGAACGCUGGCGGCGUGCUUAACACAUGCAAGUCGAACGAGGUCCAUUGCGAGCUUGCUCAAGAGAAGACCUAGUGGCGAACGGGUGCGUAACACGUGAGAAACCUGCCCCAGACUUGGGAAUAACAGUCGGAAACGACUGCUAAUACCGAAUACCUUCGUAGCGUCGCAUGGCGCAUCGAAGAAAGCUUUUGCGGUUUGGGAGGGUCUCGCGGCCUAUCAGCUAGUUGGUGAGGUAACGGCUCACCAAGGCAUCGACGGGUAGCUGGUCUGAGAGGAUGAUCAGCCACACUGGGACUGAGACACGGCCCAGACUCCUACGGGAGGCAGCAGUGGGGAAUAUUGCACAAUGGGCGAAAGCCUGAUGCAGCAACGCCGCGUGCGGGAAGAAGGCCCUAGGGUUGUAAACCGCUUUCAGCGGGGAAGAAACUGACGGUACCUGCAGAAGAAGGUGCGGCCAACUACGUGCCAGCAGCCGCCGUAA